UGCCCUCUGAAUAGCUCCUUCCCUUUCAUUCCAUUCAACAAUGUAGGAAACUCCGUCUUUGCUGGUUCCACAAGAAAAGAGCCUGGAGCCAUCAGCACUAUAAGCCAUUGUAGUACACCAAUGACCUGGGGCAUCAUAAUCAACUCUAGAUCCCAGACCAUCAUAUAACCAUGCCUUGAUCUUCCCAUCUAACCCUGUUGAGAAGAUGAA
rnacentral:misc_RNA from 1 species